AGUGAACGCUGGCGGUAGGCCUAACACAUGCAAGUCGAACGGCAGCACAGUAAAAGCUUGCUCUUACGGGUGGCGAGUGGCGGACGGGUGGGGAAUACAUCGGAAUCUACUUUUUCGUGGGGGAUAACGUAGGGAAACUUACGCUAAUACCGCAUACGACCUACGGGUGAAAGCAGGGGAUCUUCGGACCUUGCGCGAUUGAAUGAGCCGAUGUCGGAUUAGCUAGUUGGCGGGGUAAAGGCCCACCAAGGCGACGAUCCGUAGCUGGUCUGAGAGGAUGAUCAGCCACACUGGAACUGAGACACGGUCCAGACUCCUACGGGAGGCAGCAGUGGGGAAUAUUGGACAAUGGGCGCAAGCCUGAUCCAGCCAUACCGCGUGGGUGAAGAAGGCCUUCGGGUUGUAAAGCCCUUUUGUUGGGAAAGAAAAGCAGCAGGUUAAUACCCCGCUGUUCUGACGGUACCCAAAGAAUAAGCACCGGCUAACUUCGUG
rnacentral:rRNA from 1 species